rnacentral:rRNA from 1 species
GACGAACCGUGCGAACGUUAUUCGGAAUCACUGGGCUUAAAGCGCGUGUAGGCGGGCCGCCACGUCGGCUGCUGAAAUCCCCCCGGCUCAACCGGGGAAGUGGCACCGAUACGAGCGGCCUCGAGGGGGGGUAGGGGGGUCUGGAACUUCCGGUGGAGCGGUGAAAUGCGUUGAGAUCGGAAGGAACGCCCGUGGCGAAAGCGAGGCCCUGGACCCUUACUGACGCUGAGACGCGAAAGCCAGGGGAGCGAACGGG